rnacentral:rRNA from 1 species
UACGUAGGGGGCAAGCGUUGUCCGGAUUUACUGGGCGUAAAGAGCGUGUAGGCGGCCAAACAGGUCCGUUGUGAAAACUGGAGGCUUAACCUCCAGACGUCGACGGAAACCGUAUGGCUAGAGUCCGGAAGAGGAGAGUGGAAUUCCCAGUGUAGCGGUGAAAUGCGUAGAUAUUGGGAGGAACACCAGUGGCGAAGGCGGCUCUCUGGACCGGUACUGACGCUGAGACGCGAAAGCCAGGGGAGCAAACGGG